GGCGGGAUAAGUUAAGUGGGAAACUCUAUGGUUCAUGUUCAUAAAAUGCGUGUAGCUCCUGCCU
rnacentral:tRNA from 1 species